GACAGCGAGCUUUCGGAAGCCGAAGAAGAGCAAAGGACUGAAAAUCCUUGUGUCACUGGUUCGAUUCCCGUUGGCACCA
rnacentral:tRNA from 1 species